ACGUUAGAGCCUGCGGGAGCCACGGAGGGGGAGUUACGUUUCCCCUGCCCGGCCCACAACCAAGGACGAACUGCGUCUCUGACUCUGUCCCCGCUGCCUCCACAUGGGACCUGGACUGGAAGCCAGGAUUCUAACUAAAUCUCGGGGGAGAACACUUUCAAGCAUUGCUCAUGGACUCAACACAGCCAAACAAAACAAACUGGAAAAGGAAAAUCAGUGGCCAGAGUGUAGCCAAAGAACAGGAAUCCCCAGCUCACUGCCAGCUCGAUCUUCUGAACUAACGUCACAGGCGUCACACCAGGUACUCACAGCAGUGCAGACGAAGACUCACAACGAGGCCCUCCCCUCCGCAGACACGCAGACUGAGAGCCCAGGCGGUGCUGAGCGGCACAAAGGGUUUGCGUGGAGCCCGUCAUCCUUGAGAAGGUGACGCACUCUCCCAGCCUUGAGAGGUGGAUCGAGGAGGGGGGAGGCAGUCAGAGUGUGUGCGAGGUGCGUGGAGGCGAGCAGUGUUGCAACCCCUCCAGCUCAUCCUCGACAAAGCCGUGUGUGCCCACCACGAGGUGUAGCCGGCCAUAAAGCUGGCGUGUCAGAGGGAACUGUGGCCAGCCAGGGUCGCAAUCAAGGCCUAAACAGCAUGGGCAGCACAGGCAGUUCCCAUGGCCAGCUGGGGGACAGUGGCCUCCACCCUGGGAGCAAUGCAGAGGCCACAAGCCGAGCUGUUGUUACUCUUACAGCAUCUUUCCAGGCAGCGUGUGGGAGUCGGUGAGCGUUGCCCGUGUUGUCAGCUAUUGAGGCCUUUGUACAAAGAUCGUGGAUCAGGCUGCCUAAGCUCUGACUCGGAGACCAGCCACUGCUGCCUGCUCCGUGCACCCUGAACCCGUGGCCUUGCCCCACCUCUUGUUAUUGCCCACCUUAUUCCUUUCCCUCACUGCUCCCCUUGGUGCUGGUCCGUGGUCAGGAGCCCCCACAGCCUGCCCCAACCUUACUUCCCUGGUUCUAUUCAAACAUCCAGACUUAUCCCUUGUCUCAGAAGCCAAUCUUUGACACUAAGUGUCAGUCUAGCUAAGUCUGGGAGGCCGGUCUCACAAAGUCAACCUGCCAGUGCGAUGAUGGAGGAUGACACUGGAUGAGUUACUCCCUCCAGGUAAGAGUUCAUAUUUUUAUUCAUUUAAUUUCUUUGCUGGGGAAGAGUCGCCCUGAGCUAACAUCUUCUCCCAAUCUUCCUCUCUUUCUCUACUUUUCCAUCCCCAAAGCCCCAGUACCUGGUUGUAUAUUCUAGCUGUAAGUCGCUCUAGUUCUUCUGUGAGCCACUGCCACAGCAUGGCUACUGACAGACGGGUGGCAUAGGUCCACACCCAGGAGCCAAACCCAGGCCCCCAAACUGGAGCUGCCAAACUCACCCACUAGGCCAUCAGGGCUGGCUCAAGGGUCUGUAUUGUGACUAAGUCUCCAGGGCGGGCAGUCUUUUACCCCAAAGAGGGACCGGUACUUGGGAAUGUUGUCGCAGCAUCCCUCUCCUUGCGUCCUGGCCAGAACCAGGCACCCAGGCUGGGCUCCUGCUGUUCAGCUCAGCCCCUCGCCCAGUCCAGCUGGGUGCCCGUGUCUAUCUCCACACCCGUGUGUGAGCCCUGGGGGGCAGCGCCCAGCAGGAACCUGCAGUUGCAGAGCUCAGUGAAAGUCGGCUUGAACUCACUCUUUCAACAAAUUUUUGUUGAACUCCAACUGGGAGCAAAUACUGCUGCCUCUGGGAACCAAAGGGGACCUGCUCUGAAGAAGCCACUCCGCCGUGUGCGAGACGGUCAUGCUUUCUGCUUUGACGGGUUUACAUCCAAGCGAGAGAAGAGACGGUCCAGACGUAGUAAGAACAAGAACUUGGAACAAAGAAAGAGGGAAUGUAGUCUGCUCCUGGAAGAGAACGUUCACAGCAGCACUAAGGAAAAUCCUAAUGGAGACGAGGGGAAGAAAGUCAGGAACAGCGUGAGAGUCUGGAAAUAGGGACCCUGGUUGACAUCUCUUAAGGACCCUGCUGAUUCACCAAAAGACGGGGGGACCGUGCACCACGGGCUCUGGUGCAGAGGCAGAGAAGGGUACAGUCUUCUCAAAGGUUAAAAGAAAAUGUUAUGGAACAUUUAAAUUGGUUCUUUUUGGACAUGUCACCGUGUCCAAAGUGUAACAGAUGGGAGCUGCUGUGCGUUUUCAUUAAUCGUUGUUUUCGUGAACGUUCGGACGGUCCCUGCUUCUAAUUUUAAAGCAGACGAACAGAACAUUCUGUAUUUCUAAAAGAUCCCACCAAACGUGAAUUACUUUUGUGGCCCUCGACCAAGUUUUGUCAGAAAUAAAACCUGACUCUCCUCAGGCAGCUUUGUGACUCCCCAGGAAGAGACGAGAGCCAGGCUCCCAGCGUCCCCACCUCCUGAAGGAGACACUGCGGGCACAGGCAGCCUUUGCCGGCCUCCAUCCUCCCAGGAAAUAAAGACCCGGAGUCGCUGGGAUCAUGGACGCAGAGCCCCAACCCGUGACCACAGAGCGGUUCACCCCCACAGCCCCACGGGGCCUUGUGGGAGCCCUGCCUCAGGUCCGGUGCGCACGGGAAGCCCUGGGCCACACCCGACUUCCCAGAGCUCGGAAACAUCUGUGCUGCCUCCCGGCUCCUGGUUCCUUGGGCGAGAAGCCUCGCGCAGAACAGCCUGGGACCUGAGGCUCCAGCCUUCCAGGGAUCAGGCGCUGCCCCCUCCCCUCCACGUCCAGCCACCCCGCUGGCCAGCUCGCUGCCUCCCCCAGCUCUUGGGACCCCUCCCGGGAAGUCAGGGCCUUGAUGAGCUCCAGGGUUCUGCCCAGUUUCUCGGGCCUUGGCCCCCAAGCCACUGCUCCUCUUUGCCAGAGCUGGUGCUCUGCGGCCAAGGGACCACUGGACUGCUGCUCACCUCAGGGUCAGGCUGCGUCAGAGGACUGUGGGGAGAACAGCGGCCCCCAAGGGAGAUGCCCCAGGCCAGGCAGCCUCCAGGAUCAGAACCCAGCAGCGGCCUGGCGUGGACUCCACUGGACGUUUUGAGAACCGAGGACUUGGUGACUAGAUACUUCUGUCAGCCUUGCCCUCCCAUAGCUACACUUUACCAAUUUUUGGAAUAAACAAUUGCCACUACCUGAGCACAUCGCAAGUCUCUAUACGGUUUUACAAAUCUGGGGCAUUUAACGUAAUUUUCCAUAUUCUUAACUCAGCGACUGAGAGGUUCAGAGAUUAGAACAAUCUUUGGAAAAUACAUUCCUCAGAGGUCCAGCGUCUGCUCAACUGGGAACAACUUUGAAAAAAGGCAGAAGGGCAGAUGUGAGCUAUGAGGAGAGGGAAAAGACGGGAGGAACGGGAUACGAGGUUGCUCAUGCCAAGAUGUGAAUGGGCCAAAAAGCCCCAGUGCCUCCUAAUUUCUUACGUGCCUGCACUUCCUUCCGGCCAGUGCUCCCCAGGGAGUUUCCUCCAACGCCUCCAUCGGUCCCCGGGCCUCGCAGCAGCCGUGCUGUGUGGUCCGCACACAGGCGAUCUCGGGAAUACUGGGUUGGCACCAGCAGGAGAACUGUUCGUACGGACACCCGAGCCCACCGGAAAGACAUGGGGAAGGGCACCACGGGCCUGCUCUCUGGGCUGGACGCUGGGAUUAACCCUCCAGAGAAGCAGAAGAGGCCAGGGCUGCCCCCACCCCCAGGACGGAGAGCCCGCAGGACGGCAGGGACCUCUCUGGGAGCGGCCUCGGCUUGCGAGCCCCCAGGCGCUCAGUAAUGGAGAGAUUCUGAGUGUAACACUGCCCGGUGACUGGAAGAGAUGUCACCGUCACCAGCUGUGGAUGCUGGGUGGCAGCAGGAGGGAAUGAAGCCCGUGGACAAAAACCAAGAGAGAGACUGACGUGAAGUGAGGCCCUGAGGGUCCUGCUGGGGGCCUGGAUCCACGGCUGGACCCCAGGGUGGAAGGUCGCUCAGUUAACCUGACGUGAGUUGAUUUUCCUUCAUGUACGACCAGAAUGAACCGACGGACUCAGCGGUCUCCGACAUUACUUUUGAGAGCAGAACCACAGAAAGGAGAGCUCGUAACUCAAAAAGGCUCAGAGAAACAGAAGGCACAAAGGAUUGUGGAGAGGGGCUCUUGUUCCCGUGAUACAAGUUGUAUAAUAAAUAGUCACAGCACCUGACUGUCUCUGUCAUUACACGCAUGACGCUCUUCUGAAGGCCUCUAUGUAUUAAUUCACUUAAUCCUCCUAAGAACCCCAUGAGGCCAGUGCUAACAUCAUUAUCCCCACUGAACAGAUGAGGGAAAUCGAGGCGCAGAGAGGUUCAGUAACUUGCCUAAUGCAGCACAGCCAGGAAACAGAAGACAGGGGUGCUGAGUCAAGGUGGCCUGGCUCCCCAGCCGUGACCCUGCUCACACGUCCUGUCCCAGGAAGCGGCUGCUGACGGUGACCGGUGGGCUGGAGGUCCUGCUGUCGAGGUUGGGCUUCCUCUGACCGGUGGCUUCGUCUCCUGGUGGCCGACUCCUUCGGAGAACCAGCCACCUGGAAAACGAAAGGCAGACGGCAAAGCCUGCUGAAUUCAGUGGAUCGUCUGUGCUUAGGAUGGAGAACGAUCAACCGGUUCACUCACUCCUAAAACAUUUUAAGAACAAAGCUUGUGGAACCUGUCAAAAAAGAAAUCACAGACAGAAACUCCACUUGGGUCUACAUUUUGGCCAAUUAACAUGAAAAAAAAUACGAAGAAGGAAGGAGGAGGUGACGAAAGAAGAGAAAGGGACCAGGACUGACGAAGCGGUGCAGAGACGGAGGCAGAGGAGCGCCUGCGCGGAGCAAUUGAGAAAGAAAGGAACGACAGUCCAGGUUAGACACCCGGACAGAGACAGAGAGAGCUGGGGGCACAGAAACACAAACCCCCCCAGGAGUGGGCAGGGCCAGCGGUCAGGGCCCUGAGCAGCCGCGUCUCUGCUGCCCGUCCCUGGAGCGAACGCAGCGCCCGCCACGGAGAGCACCCUGGGAGGAGCCGGCGGCGCAGGAGUGGAAGGUGGACAGCGACCCGGGGCGACGCGGACAGGGAGCACGGCUGUGCGGCUCUUAGCACGUAGAGCCUGGGAUCAGGGGGACUCGGGUCGGAUCUUGGCUUUGUGGCUUCAAAUUUCUGUGAUUUGGGUAAUGUUCCCAUAACUUUUGAUCUUUUUGUGUGUCAGUUUCUUCAUAUGUGAAAGUAAGGCUAUGCUCCAGAUAUUGAGCUGUUUUUCUCUUUUCUCCCCACCACCCUUCCACACUCUGCUUUGUGAGGCUCUGGCUGGCCCUCUGAAGACCACGUUUCAGGUUUGCAAACUGGCUUCCUAGCCCUGCUGACCGUGGGCACCAGGAGGACACUGGAGGGACCAAGAAUGACGAAGGGACUUGUCCGUCCUUGUCCAGGCCCCCGCUCGUCUUCCUGCUCCUGAGAGCCUCAUGUCCCCAAAGCUUUUCCUUCGUAGCCACAGCAACUAAACCCAGUUUGCAGUUUUCCGGCACCCACAGGGCCAGCUUCCCUGAGCCCCCAGAGCCCCCAGCACCAGCGGAGGCCUGAGGCUCCCUGCUCUGCACACCUGGGUUUUGAUGGUCCCAGCCUCCGCCCGCGCCCUCCCAGCCUGGGGACAGCGGCUGCUCCUACAGUUGCUGCCUCCUUGAUAGCUUAGAGGCCCCUUUUUACCCUUCUAGUUACUAGUUAUCAGCUAUGUACCUGGUUGACAACUUUGUUUUCCAUUUUCUCUGUUUAAAGAACUAGUAUGGUUUCUGUCUCCUGCCUGGACCCUAAUUGAAACAGGAUAACAACACCUACUUCAUGGAGGCGUGAGGGUGGACUGAAGAGGGCUCAGAACAUAGCCCGGCUGUGGCAAGGCGCAGGCAGCGUGAGCUCCAUAAUCCACAGGGACAGCAGAACGUUAGACAGCAGUGCCGGCGUGACACAGGUGCCUCCCACGGAGGACCCUGACUUCACCACCUCUGAAGAUGCCGACAGGAACCAGAACCCAUCCAGCAAACCUACCCAGAAAAACAGUAAGAUGGGCAAAGUCACAUUUGCGACUUUUUAUCUUUUUUAAAGAAUUUUAUAGAAUACGGAAGUAGGUUGAGUAACGCUUGCAGUUUAUUUCCAAAAAUCAGGCUAAUGCAGGGCACCUGCGUCACAUGAGCCAACGUGUGUCCUUGGGCUCCCACGACUGACACACCGGAGAGUCCGAGCGCCGAGCAGCAUCUCCACCCCUGGAGCGGGCGGGACAAAGCUGGGCGCUCUGCUUCAAAUCAGCCCUUUUUUACAAGGCACAGAAAUUAAUUCUUGAGAGGACAGUAACUCCUGGCGGGAAGAAAAUUAUUGACGUUUUGUGUGUAUGUCUGUGUGUGUAUUUAUGGAAGUAAUAUUCAGAAAUGGAAAAAACCCAUAAGUUACAAGGUUAAAUUAAUCCUAGGAGAUUGUCUUAAUUUCUGUAAUUAUCUUACCACUACCUUAGUAAAAAAAAAAUCUCAUGAAGCAAAUACAAAAUGUUAAUAUUGUCGGAUCUAAGUGAGAUAUUUUGUUAUUAACAAUUUUGUUUAGAUGCCUAAAAGCGAUAGUAUGACUAAAUAAAAGAUAGCUUCUCAAGAAGAACAUAAAUAACUUUCCUCAGCUUGAUCUCUAAGAUAAAUCAGAGGGAUGGUGACCUGGGUGCACCUGAGUGGCGUCCUGACGAUGAUUUUCCAGUUAGGUCGGCCCUGACCACAGAUGAUCCUCCACUUGGCUUGGAAACAAGCUCAAUCUAUCUGUGCCAGUAAAACUCAGAAGUCCAGGCACACAUUGCAGGGAAAGCCUAGCUCAACCUUGAAGACCAGGAUAAACAUUCGCUGGCUUAUGGAGAAGGCUGAUUUGUCCCCGUGGGCAGCUGGCUCUUUAAACGAUAAAGUGGCAUGCCAGCUUACCCUUGAAAAGGGUCAAGCAUGGCGAUGGAUCCCGGUGUCAAAAGAAGCACCAGCUGUGGGAUGGGGAUGAUUGAGAAGACUGAGGGUAUCCAGAGCUGGUGAGAGGUGGGGAAACAGGCCCACACGUGCAUUUCUGGCAGGAGGGUAAAUUGGUGCAAUCUUCCUGGGGGAACAUUCGGCAGCAUGCAGAAAAGCCUUUUCUAAAAGCCUUUGACUUAGGAGUCCCACUCCUAGAAAUCUGCCCUACGUAAAGAUUGGGUAAAUGUGUUAGGAUGAACACACAGGAUGUGAACUACUGCAGAGUUUAUAGUGCUGAUCAAUUUGAAAUAACCUGAACAUUUAUCACUAGGAAUUUGGUUAAAUAACUAUGGCGUAUCGACACAGUGAAAACCACAAGGUCACUAACCAGAACGAUAUGGGUCUACAUUUAUAGAUAUGGAAAGACAGACGUUUAUAUGUUGCUAAGGGGGAAAAAACCACGUGUCCUCUGAUUCUAUUGGGGACAUGUGUGUGUGUGCGUGCGUGUGUGUGCAUGCACACAGGAAAAAGUGUGACCAGUGUAAUGUUUACAGCAAUUAUUGCUGAGUAGAAUCAACUUAAUUUUAAUUUUAUAUUUCUCUGAACGUUCUGAAUUUUUCAGGAAUAUGUAAGUAUUAUUGUCUUAAUUAGAAAAAAAUUUGCAUAAACAAAAAUUCUCCAAGAACUGGCCAGUGAUGUCCGCUUGUCCUCUUCCUUUAUGCUGAGCCCUCUAGUUACUUCUGACACAGCUGCUUUCCUCACGACGUCUGCUCAUCGGUCCCCUACCGCAGGGUUCUCAGAGGCUGAUGUGUUCAGGCAUUUGCACUUUGUUGAGGCUCUUAGCAUACAUAUAUGUGUGUUUCUUUAAAGGAGAAAUGACAAAAGAGAGAUACAAGAUUUGUCGUCUGUUGUAACUGUCUACACUUAACAAAUUAACCCUUUUAUCGUCAGGAAGGACAUUCCACGCAAUUCUACGUAAGUUUCAUUUGCAGCAGCGGACCACAGACUGCGGUGACGGCCACAUAAAGCCGUGUUCUUCCUCCCCGGCCCCAUGAGUGUCUCCAGGCCCGGCUGUAUGCUCCUCUGGAGAUGAUGUAAGAGAUCAAAAUACCCCAAAUUGAAAUCUGAGGCCCUUGGGAAUGUGUGCCUGGAGUCACGUGACCCUCCUGACAUCCUCGUCACAGCUCUGCCCCUGUCCCAUGCUGGACGGUCAGGCGAUGGCAGUCUCUCCUCUACCCAGCCCCGCUGUCCCUCCUUCGGCUUUUCCUGGACCGGGCGCUGAGUCUGGGCCUACAGCUCCCUACAUGCACUCUAGGUGCUGCUGGGCUAUUUCCGCCCCACGGCCUUCACGCCGGAGAGCCCACCAGCCCAGCCGCCUGCUGCAGGACGCUGAGGCCAACACCACCCCAUGCGCUGAGGUUUCUCUGCUGCCUGCAGAACGAAACUCUGGAAACAGUGACUCAGGAGCCGUGUCAAGACAGCAGCAUCCAAGAUGGGGAACCACAGGCCAGGCUGGACCAGGAACCUUCGACAGCCACCCAUGUUCAGGAAACAGCCCGAGACCACAGCCUGCACUACGAGCAGGAGUCGUGUCAACACUUCUGCACACCUGGGAAACUCGGCCCUGCCCAAUGCCUCCCGCCAGUGACAGAGCAGCCUGGGCCCCAGCACUCUGAGCAGGACGGGGAGGGGCCUGGAGCAGAACCCGCUGUGCCAGCCGCAGGAUCUCCUUGUUCUGCUGAAUGACCAGUAAGCUGGACGGAGGUGGACAGGGGGACUCAGAAUCCUCAGGCAGCUCCCAUGGGGAAACUGAGCAAGGGCGACCGUCAAGGAAGAAGAUGCGACACAGCCACUCUGCAGCCGUGUGACCCGGAGGCCGCAGCAGGAAUGGACGCGACGGACGCAAAGACAAGAGGUGCCACGAAGAGGGCAGGGGCCACGAAGAGGGCAGGGGCCCUGGAAAACACUUUCUUUCCAUUGCUUUUGAACCUCUGGUCAGUGACAGCGAUAGUCCAUGCAGGGCCUCUCCCUUAAUUUACUGAUAAAUUAAUUUAUGUAAUAAAUUACAUUAUUACAUAAUUAUUACAGUAAAUUAUUUCCAGCUACAUCCACCGUCACCCCAGGCUCCUCUCAUCACAGGCGAUCAUUUUAAAGAGCUUAGUGUGAAUAUUUUUAUUUGCAUAUGUUUUUUCUUUUUUUAAAAAAGAUUUUAUUUUUCCUUUUUCUCC
ensembl:lncRNA